ACUAAGCAUAUCAAUAAGCGGAGGAAAAGAAACCAACAGGGAUUGCCUCAGUAACGGCGAGUGAAGCGGCAACAGCUCAAAUUUGAAAUCUGACCCCUUCGGGGCCCGAGUUGUAAUUUGUAGAGGAUGCUUCGGGUGCGGCGCCGGUCUAAGUUCCUUGGAACAGGACGUCAUAGAGGGUGAGAAUCCCGUAUGCGACCGGCGGCCAACCCCGUGUGAAGCCCCUUCGACGAGUCGAGUUGUUUGGGAAUGCAGCUCAAAAUGGGUGGUAAAUUUCAUCUAAAGCUAAAUACCGGCCAGAGACCGAUAGCGCACAAGUAGAGUGAUCGAAAGAUGAAAAGCACUUUGGAAAGAGAGUCAAACAGUACGUGAAAUUGUUGAAAGGGAAGCGCUUGCAACCAGACCUGCCCGCGGGCGAUCAGCCGUUAUUCUUAGCGGUGCACUCGUCCGCGAUCAGGCCAGCAUCGGUUCGGGCGGCCGGAUAAAGGCCUCGGGAAUGUAGCUCCCCCCGGGGAGUCUUAUAGCCCGGGGUGCAAUGCGGCCAGCCCGGACCGAGGACCGCGCUUCGGCUAGGAUGCUGGCGUAAUGGUUGUAAGCGACCCGUCUUGAAACACGGACC
rnacentral:rRNA from 1 species